GACGAACGCUGGCGGCGUGCCUAAUACAUGCAAGUAGAACGCUGAAGGAGGAGCUUGCUUCUCUGGAUGAGUUGCGAACGGGUGAGUAACGCGUAGGUAACCUGCCUGUUAGCGGGGGAUAACUAUUGGAAACGAUAGCUAAUACCGCAUAAUAGUAGAUGUUGCAUGACAUUUGCUUAAAAGGUGCAAUUGCAUCACUACCAGAUGGACCUGCGUUGUAUUAGCUAGUUGGUGGGGUAACGGCUCACCAAGGCGACGAUACAUAGCCGACCUGAGAGGGUGAUCGGCCACACUGGGACUGAGACACGGCCCAGACUCCUACGGGAGGCAGCAGUAGGGAAUCUUCGGCAAUGGACGGAAGUCUGACCGAGCAACGCCGCGUGAGUGAAGAAGGUUUUCGGAUCGUAAAGCUCUGUUGUAAGAGAAGAACGAGUGUGAGAGUGGAAAGUUCACACUGUGACGGUAUCUUACCAGAAAGGGACGGCUAACUACGUG
rnacentral:rRNA from 1 species